rnacentral:rRNA from 1 species
GAUGAACGCUGGCGGCGUGCCUAAUACAUGCAAGUCGAGCGAACAGACGAGGAGCUUUCUCCUCUGACGUUAGCGGCGGACGGGUGAGUAACACGUGGAUAACCUACCUAUAAGACUGGGAUAACUUCGGGAAACCGGAGCUAAUACCGGAUAAUAUAUUGAACCGCAUGGUUCAAUAGUGAAAGACGGUUUUGCUGUCACUUAUAGAUGGAUCCGCGCCGCAUUAGCUAGUUGGUAAGGUAACGGCUUACCAAGGCAACGAUGCGUAGCCGACCUGAGAGGGUGAUCGGCCACACUGGAACUGAGACACGGUCCAGACUCCUACGGGAGGCAGCAGUAGGGAAUCUUCCGCAAUGGGCGAAAGCCUGACGGAGCAACGCCGCGUGAGUGAUGAAGGUCUUCGGAUCGUAAAACACUGUUAUUAGGGAAGAACAAAUGUGUAAGUAACUAUGCACGUCUUGACGGUACCUAAUCAGAAAGCCACGGCUAACUACGUG